AAACUUCAAAUACCUCCCGUGGUUUCGUAUUUUCUCACUUUGGUAUCCUACAGUUUAGUAUCCUAUAGUUUAAAAUGUAUCAAGUUAGUACCUUGUAAUUCAAAGUGUAUCGAAUUAGUACCCUGUGGUUUCUCAUUUUCUCACUUUAGUACCCUGUGGUUUAAAGUGUAUCAAAUUAGUAUCCUCUGGUUUCGCACUUUCUCAAUUUCGUACCCUGUGAUUUAAUAUUUCGUUAAAUUAUAUACAAAAAAACCUUCAGAUAUCCUAUCUAGAUUUAUCGAAUAUUUAUUUUAGCACCAUUUAGUUUUAACUUUGUCACUGAUUUAACGAAAAAAAAUAUUCCGAAAUAGAUAACAAAAAGAGAAAAAUAAAACCACAAGAUACUAACUUGAUACGAAAAUAAAAUCACAGAGUACUAACUUGAUACACUUUAAACCACAGGAUACUAAAGUGAAAAAGUACAAAACCACAUGGUACUAAUUUGAUACACUUUAAACCACAUGAUACUAAAGUGAGAAAGUGUGAAACCACGUAGGGGUAUUUGAAGUUUUUCCUAAUUUUUAUGUAUUGUGAAAAAUAAAAAAUAUAUUAUUUUUUAAAAUAGAAAAUAUAUUAUUUAUAAAUUAUUUUAUUAAGUAGGAGAUGAUAGAUUUUAUUGAACACAGUAAACGAUUCAACGCCUUCCAAUUAUUCCGUUGAAUCGGCCAAAUUAUGGUUAUUUGAUCGAAUAAAAUUUUCACAAAAUUAUUUAAUAAAUUAUAAAA
rnacentral:lncRNA from 1 species